rnacentral:rRNA from 1 species
UUCUCGGUUUUAUAAGAUCUACUUAUUUUACUGUCAUAAGUAUUUAGAAUUUGAAGUUAAAUGCUAAUAUAUCUAGUUUUUUAAGAAAAUUUAAUUUUUUCAUCUCCAGAGGGAUGAGCUUUUGGUAGGAUUAGAAUUUUUGUUAUAAUUGUAGUAUUAAAAUGAAAGUUUCAAUUUGUUUUGUAAUAAUGAUAGAAUUAGUAAAAGGUCAAGGAAAGGAAUUCGGCAAAAAUUUUUCACCUGUUUAAUAAAAACAUGGCCUUUUGAUUUUAAUUUAAGGUCUAGCCUGCCCACUGAGGCUGCGGUACUCUGACCGUGCAAAGGUAGCAUAAUAAUUAGUUUCUUAAUUGGAAGCUGGAAUGAAUGGUUGCAUGAAAAAAUGACUGUCUCUUUUUGAGUGAAUUUUAUUUUUAAGUUAAAAAGCUUAAAUUUUGUUAAAAGACGAGAAGACCCUAUAGAGUUUUAUUUUGGUUGGGGUGAUUGAAAAAUUAAAUUAACUUUUGAUUAAAAGAUAAAAUUACCUUAGGGAUAACAGCGUAAUUUUUCUGAGAGUUCUAAUCGAUAGAAGAGUUUGCGACCUCGA